rnacentral:rRNA from 1 species
CUCAGAUUGAACGCUGGCGGCAGGCCUAACACAUGCAAGUCGAGCGGUAGAGAGAAGCUUGCUUCUCUUGAGAGCGGCGGACGGGUGAGUAAUGCCUAGGAAUCUGCCUGGUAGUGGGGGAUAACGUUCGGAAACGGACGCUAAUACCGCAUACGUCCUACGGGAGAAAGCAGGGGACCUUCGGGCCUUGCGCUAUCAGAUGAGCCUAGGUCGGAUUAGCUAGUUGGUGAGGUAAUGGCUCACCAAGGCGACGAUCCGUAACUGGUCUGAGAGGAUGAUCAGUCACACUGGAACUGAGACACGGUCCAGACUCCUACGGGAGGCAGCAGUGGGGAAUAUUGGACAAUGGGCGAAAGCCUGAUCCAGCCAUGCCGCGUGUGUGAAGAAGGUCUUCGGAUUGUAAAGCACUUUAAGUUGGGAGGAAGGGUUGUAGAUUAAUACUC